CCUUUAUCUCGUACAUCUAAAGGUCCACAAAUUCACUUCUUCAUUUUUUUUCUUUUCUUUUUUCACUCUUCCCUUCCUUCGACCACCACCGCCAUCAACCCGUUCUCUCUUUCUUUCUCACCACCACUGCCGUCACCCCGUUCUCCCUUUUUUUUUCACCACCGGCGCCAUCACCCCGUUCUCCCUUUCUUUAUACAUUUCACCACCACCACCAUCACUCCAUUCUCCCUCUUAUAAAAUAUAGCUAGGGUUUAUCAGGAUUUCCUUGAGAAUGUUUAGUGUACUUGAGCUUCCUCUGGACUCUGGAGAAAUUUUGUGCAAGAUAUUGGCAUGAACAACAUUUAGUAUCAUGUUGCAUGGCGCGUUAUUUACAGAGUAAACCAGGGGGAGCCACUGCACUUAUCAUGGAGCAAAUACGUGGAAUUCAAUUUACAACCGACCGGGGUUCCCAACAACCCUGAUUUGAUAUGCAGUACUUGAGUAAUUUAUCGAGUACAAGUAAAUACAAAAGUUUCGAGGUCCUUAUGUGAAGAUUGUUGUUACUUUUUACUAAUGAGCUAGAACUGUAGAUGCAACAAUUCCUCGGCGAGAACCUUACAGUCUUCCACCUUUUCCUGUGUAAUGGUUGUGUUGAAACUUCUUUGUUCUUUAAUCAAUUCAUGCGUUAACAAUCUCAUUUAUUUGUGUCUCUUCCUGUAUUUGGAGUAUUUUGAGGUUGUAAAGACCUAAAAAAAUACACUUAUCUAAAUUUUGUGGUUUAAUUUGUUGUUGUUGGUAUCUGCCAAA